rnacentral:rRNA from 1 species
UGGGGAAGCAACCAGAUUAGAUACCCUGGUAGUCCAGCCGUAACGGUGUCGACUUGGUGUGGAAGGAAUUGACCCCUUCCGUGCCGAAGCUAACGCGUAAGUCGACCGCUGGGAAGUACGGCCGCAAGGCUAAAACUCAAAGAAAUUGACGGGGGCCCACAAGCGGAGGAGCAUGUGGCUUAAUUCGAUGCAACGCGAAGACCCUUACCCAGGCUUGACAUAUAUCUGCACGCCCUGUGAAAGCAGGGUUCUUUCGAAGGUGAUAUACAGGUGCUGCAUGGCUGUCGUCAGUUCGUGCCGUGAGGUGUUUGGUUAAGUCCAGCAACGAACGCAACCCUUGUGAUUAGUUGCCACCGGAGGUGAUGAGCCUUCGAGCACUCUAAUCAGACUGCCCUUGCAAGAGGGAGGAAGGUGGGGAUGACGUCAAGUCAGUAUGGCCCUUAGGUCUGGGGCUGCACACGUGCUACAAUGGCCGGUACAGAAGGCUGCAAUACCGCGAGGUGGAGCUAAUCCUCAAAACCGGCCCCAGUUCGGAUUGGAGUCUGCAACUCGACUCCAUGAAGUCGGAUUCGCUAGUAACGGCGCAUCAGCUACGGCGCCGUGAAUACGUUCCCGGGCCUUGUACACACCGCCCGUCACAUCAUGAAAGCCGUCUGCACCCGAAGUCGUUGGUCCAACCCGCAAGGGAGGAGGACGCCGAAGGUGUGGGUGGUGAUUGGGAUGAAGUCGUAACAAGGAAUCC